ACUCCUACGGGAGGCAGCAGUAGGGAAUCUUCCGCAAUGGACGAAAGUCUGACGGAGCAACGCCGCGUGAGUGAAGAAGGUUUUCGGAUUGUAAAACUCUGUCAUUAGGGAAGAACGGCUAUAGUUUAAAUAAGGCUAUAGAUUGACGGUACCUAAGGAGGAAGCCCCGGCUAACUACGUGCCAGCAGCCGCGGUAAUACGUAGGGGGCAAGCGUUGUCCGGAAUUAUUGGGCGUAAAGCGCGCGCAGGCGGCUCUUUAAGUCUGAUGUGAAAGCCCACGGCUCAACCGUGGAGGGUCAUUGGAAACUGGAGAGCUUGAGUACAGGAGAGGAAAGUGGAAUUCCAUGUGUAGCGGUGAAAUGCGUAGAUAUAUGGAGGAACACCAGUGGCGAAGGCGACUUUCUGGCCUGAAACUGACGCUGAGGCGCGAAAGCGUGGGGAGCAAACAGGAUUAGAUACCCUGGUAGUC
rnacentral:rRNA from 1 species